rnacentral:rRNA from 1 species
GAAAGACCAGAAAAGAAAUGGAAAAAAAACAACAACUUUGAG